GACGAACGCUGGCGGCGUGCUUAACACAUGCAAGUCGAGCGAUGAAGAAGAGAAACGCGAACUUCGGUUCAAAUUUCACUUCGGAUUAGUGGCAGACGGGUGAGUAACGCGUGAGCAACCUACCUCUUACAAAGGGAUAGCCUCGGGAAACCGUGAUUAAUACCAUAUGACACAUUCAUAAGGCAUCUUAAGAAUGUUAAAGCUACGGCGGUAAGAGAUGGGCUCGCGUCCCAUUAGCUAGUUGGUGAGGUAACGGCCCACCAAGGCGACGAUGGGUAACCGGCCUGAGAGGGUGAACGGUCACAUUGGAACUGAGACACGGUCCAAACUCCUACGGGAGGCAGCAGUGGGGAAUAUUGCACAAUGGAGGGAACUCUGAUGCAGCGACGCCGCGUGAGCGAUGAAGGAAUUCGUUUCGUAAAGCUCUGUUCUAUGGGAAGAAAAGGACUGUACCAUAGGAGAAAGCCCCGGCUAAAUACGU
rnacentral:rRNA from 1 species